UACGUAGGUGGCAAGCGUUGUCCGGAUUUACUGGGCGUAAAGGAUGCGUAGGCGGACAUUUAAGUCAGAUGUGAAAUACCCGAGCUUAACUUGGGUGCUGCAUUUGAAACUGGGUGUCUAGAGUGCAGGAGAGGUAAGUGGAAUUCCUAGUGUAGCGGUGAAAUGCGUAGAGAUUAGGAAGAACACCAGUGGCGGAAGGCGACUUACUGGACUGUAACUGACGCUGAGGCAUGAAAGCGUGGGGAGCAAACAGG
rnacentral:rRNA from 1 species